rnacentral:lncRNA from 1 species
AAAUUGACACAAUGAGAUAAUCUUUUUUUUUUGAGAGAUAGCUAGCACGCUACUCGCUUCGUUUAUUUCAAUUAAAAAUAAACUUAGCUGGAGAUGUGAAUCAACUAGGAUUCCAACUUAGGUCUCGAGUACCAAUCACCAAACAUUUUGCCACUUCCUCUAAGGACGGUCGGUUACAAUGAGAUAAUCUUAAUAUGACGUCGGUUUGGUGUUUGGAAUUGAAUUGAAUGAAAUAAGAUGACAAUUGAUAUUAGUAAAAGAGGGUUUACUGAGUUGAAAGGCAUUGAAAGAUAGAUACGAUA